UUUUUAUCGUGUCAGUUAAUUUGUUUAUUUCAAGUAAUGUGAAUGUUUUUUAUGGUUUUACUUUUAGUUAAUGAUAAUAACCCUGUAUUUGUGCACCCUGUACAUGUUACUUUCUGAAAAAUGACACAUUACUAGAAGAAAAUGUGGGCGGGACUUCAUUUUAUCUAUCAAGAACUGAUUGGAUAAUGAAAGUGACAGUUGUUUAGAGGAGGGGUUGAAAAAAAUAAUGAGAGCUUGGUGAUGUCUUUUGAAAAGGAAAGUCAUUUAGAGGCAGAGAAAUUUCCAUUUGAUGAAAGCUUUUUUAUAAUGUGUGUUAAAUCAUGCACAGUAAGACCAAGUACAUGCAUUAAGACAAACCCAUUUUGAUUUGCAUUGCCCAUCAUAGGACUUGAUUUAAGACGAUUAAAUUUAAAAACAUAUAUAUAUAUAAAUGCAUUAUUGAUUUCAAGACUUCAUUCUUAUUGUCUGAAGCCCCAUCCCUUUGUCUGAUUAAGAGGCCCAGUCUUUAAAGCUGUGAAUCACGACGGCUGUUAGUGUGUUUAUACACUGACUUCCGGAUCUUUGCCCCAUUGUUGCCCCUCAGAUGCCCCUCGGCCUCCAAUCCGCCCCGGCUUAACUACUCUCAAACAGCAGCCGUAGAGUUCCAGAUUUCAUUUCCCCCGUGCCUGAUGUCAAGAGAGCUUAAGAUGAGAACUUGGUGUGACAGUCCUGAUGUUCACGGCUUGGUGGUCUCACCAGGACCCCAGCCUUCCCUUCUGAGACCAAACCACAUGGUCCAACACUCCCAGCAGAAACCGGCUCUGCAGGAACACAUCACCCACUGACCAGACAAGCUGGCACACAGAUGGACGGCUCACCGAAAUACACACAAAAAAACACAAUCCCACAUUACCAUGAUGGGGUCAUGCCCGGUGCUAUUGUGAAAUUGACAUGUGCUAAAGCAGAAAAAACAAAGAUAAGAACAGAGUCAUUUAUUAGAAUGCUAGGAAAGUGCAAUUCCCUGACAACGUUGUUCCAUUACACAUUCGUGGAAUAAUUUUUCAUAUUAAAAAAAUACUUGAACAACUGCAUUAUCUGUCCCUGUCAACAUAAAGCAUUUUGAGUUUUCUUGCACUUGCUAAAAC
ensembl:lncRNA